UACGUAGGCAGCGAGCGUUGUUCGGAAUUACUGGGCGUAAAGAGCGUGUAGGCGGUGCUCUAAGUUCGGCGUGAAAUCUCCUGGCUCAACUGGGAGGGUGCGCCGGAAACUGGAGUGCUUGAGCGUGGGAGAGGAAAGCGGAAUUCCUGGUGUAGCGGUGAAAUGCGUAGAUAUCAGGAGGAACACCUGUGGUGUAGGCGGCUUUCUGGACCAUAGCUGACGCUGAGACACGAAAGCGUGGGUAGCGAACGGG
rnacentral:rRNA from 1 species